ACCAUGCUGAAAAAUGAUAAACUGUAAUUCAAAGUCUUACGCAUUUGAGUCAAUAUGCAUAAUGCGCCUCAAAUUGAGAUACUAAAAACUAAAAAAAUAGGGAUUUUUUACCUCGAGAAGCAGCAUCACAAAGGGCUUUUCGGUGUGUGCUACAAUACGUGAAAACGAAUCUCACUUUGUACCCGAAAAUUUAACCACAUAUGUGAAAAUGUCUUACCUUCAUGAACCAUCAUGCAUAUCCAAGUUUACACAUUAUGAAAAUGAAGUUUCAGAAUUAUCAUUCCAGUUUAACACGAGACGGCAAAUUAUGGUUUUUUAAAAGUUGUGAAUUACUGAAAAAGUAAAAAAUACACAGAUUUAUUAAGAAAGUCAUACCGAAGAAGAUCACACAAGGAUAUUGGGAAAAAUGAUAUGAAAUAAAUCGUACGACAGAAUAUUAUUUUUAACCAAAUGUCUGUAAUUGAAGUGCAACAUUCUUGAACUAUGUGUACAACGAAAGAGUGUGUGAUAUUUAAUCUCAAGAAUAGGAGGAUGUUUUUGGCUAUUUCUCUGAUGUUUAACAUAGCCGUGUGGAAAUAUGUAGUGGUUUCAGGAUAUAUUAUUGGAUUAGUGAAUUCAACUGAUGUUUUCCGUUUCUUAUAAGUUGUCUGUUUAUAUCCUGUAGAAAGGACAUCUGGAGAAUUGUACUCUUACAAUUAAAGGAGACUGACUGUUUUUUACUUGAUUUCAAGUAUCUCUUUUGACAAAGGAUUAAUCAUGUUAAUGUGUGCCAAUGAAAGAAUUAUGGAUGACUAUGUGAAGUAAAUGUGAAUUUUUUAUCCAUGGUGAUCUUGCAUUUUGUUAAUUCAGUGCUACAACCAAUGACAAAAAUUUCAUUCGUUUGAGAUGUGCGUGGAACAAAAUUUUUUAUCCAAACAGUUUUACCAACUUUAAAUUCAUAAUCUAUACAUUUUUCAUUUACAAAUUUCAUAUAUGCUAUAUUUACUACAUUUUUGAAUAAACAAAUAUGCUGAUAA